rnacentral:lncRNA from 1 species
AAUCUUUAUUUGAGCGGGGUUUCAUGUUCAAAAUGAGGAAACAAACAACCAGGUAAAACUGACCGGCUGAUGAACUUACAAUUGUAGCAUACAAAUGUACUAAGCAACUUAUACACCAGAGUUUAACAAAUUAAGGCUAGCAUGCGGCGCACAAAACAAAGUAAUACAACAUUAGUCAUAUUCACUUCACACAACUAAGGGCCUCUUUAUACCCUUUAUAGCUGGUUAGAACACAAUGAAUAGCAAGCAUUUCCACUAUUGAACGUUUAGCUUGUGACAACAUUGCAAACUCAUGACCGGAUGUGUCAAAAUCAAUCAUUUUCACAACACUUUUCACAUUUUUUUUACAUUAAAGAAGAGAUCCUGCAAACUAAAAUGAAAACAUUACACAAACACUGCCUGUCAUGCACAGCCCUGCAAGGCCACCCACCUGACUACCAUGUGUGGUUCUAUGGUCCACACCAUAGAUAAAUAUUAGACUAUAUCAAACAUAACAAAUCAUACAUAUGUACAAUACUACAAUUGUAACCUCCACGGUGUUGUGACGGCCAGAACAAAGACAUCACAAGUCAGAUUACAUGAGGCACCUUGUAUAGGUACAAAGUGCGUGCUCAGAAUGAAAACAGUGCAGAACAAACAAUUUUCAUGCAUUCACAGAACAGACCAUUUGCUACUGCAAAAGUGAAGACGAAAGGCCACCGCUUCUGUGAAACUGCAUGGCUGUGCCACAUGCUUCAAAUCCCUGGCUACAGUCACAAGAUGCGACUUGUGUGCCAUACCGAUGCGCAUUAAUUACACUGUUCCAUUCAUCUGCACAGUUCAAAGAUGAGGUCAGCAGGUAAAUGUGCGACACAAGGGAAAGUUUUAGAUAUCUGUGAAAUAGCCGACCUUGAUUUUGCUAUGUUUGUACAGCUCUUACGACACAAUAUGAAGAGAAUACUGGCGAACUUAAGCUCGCAGCUGCAACAGAAGCGCUGAAUCCCUAUAACUCAGAUUGCACAUAAAAUGUUUCU